rnacentral:misc_RNA from 1 species
GUGAAUCAUCGAAUCUUUGAACGCAAAUUGCACUCUCUUCGGAGAGUAUGCCUGUUUGAGGGUCAGCAUAAAAAAAAUCGACGUAGUCGCUGUUUCGCGGUGACAUUCGUCGGAAAUUGGGACAUCUUAAAUCUUUGGGUUUUUUAAGCGGCUUAAAAUUUUCUUUACGUUUACACGAACGUUUCUACGCUUAUACUUCUUCCACACGUUUAAGGUAUCGCUCUUUAUUAGCCGUGGC